ensembl:lncRNA
AUGUUAUUAAUUAUUUUGAUGUUAGUAUUGUGCAUCUUCAUAUGCAACAAGAGUCAAACUGACUCUAGGCCAGUGCAUAUUGUACAUGGACAUUGUCUCAUUUCACAGGAAGCUUGUUGCUUAGUGUCACUGUUGCUAGGUAAACAAGUUAUUUGUAGCCAGUGUCAGAUUUCAGCUGGGAGGCUGCAAUGCAGAAAAGCCAUCCUGGACAAGAUUACAGCAAAUGGUGAAAGAAGCCCAGGCUUUCUAUGGCCAGGCCUCCUGCUGAGCAGCUGUUGGCACGCUGAAGGAGCAGCUCAGCUUUGUUCUCCUACCACACUGACCGCUGAGUGCUUUCCCGUGUCAGCAGGACUGGGCUCAAAGCAAGGCCUUGAAGGACUCUAUAUCCGUCUGCUCAUGACAGGGUGCUGUUUGCAAGUCUCCUUUUCCACUGGUCCAAGAGUAUGA